AGCAGCCGCGGUAAUUCCAGCUCCAAUAGCGUAUAUUAAAGUUGUUGCAGUUAAAAAGCUCGUAGUUGAAUUUCGGGAUCAAGGAAUCGGUCAUGCCUUGGUAUGUACUGGUUUUAUUGGUUCUCACCUUCUAAAGAACCAUAAUGUCAUUUAUUUGAUGUUAUGGGGAAUUAGGACUGUUACCUUGAAAAAAUUAGAGUAGUUUAAAGCAAGCUUACGCUUGAAUACAUUAGCAUGGAAUAAUGAAAUAGGACGUUCGAUCCUAUUUUGUUGGUUUUUAGGAUUCAACGUAAUGAUUAAUAGGGAUAGUUGGGGGCAUUAGUAUUCAAUUGUCAGAGGUGAAAUUCUUGGAUUUAUUGAAGACUAACUACUGCGAAAGCAUUUGCCAAGGAUGUUUUCAUUAAUC
rnacentral:rRNA from 1 species